rnacentral:rRNA from 1 species
AGUGAACGCUGGCGGCGUGCUUAACACAUGCAAGUCGAACGAGAACGGUACUAGCUUGCUAGUAUGUCAGCUAAGUGGCGGACGGGUGAGUAAUGUAUAGUUAAUCUGCCCUUCAGAGGGGAAUAACUACUGGAAACGGUAGCUAAUACCCCAUAUACCUUCUUUCUUAAUGAGAGUUGGGAAAUGUCUUUUCGCUGAAGGAUGAGACUAUAUGGUAUCAGGUAGUUGGUGGGGUAAGAGCCCACCAAGCCUAUGACGCCUAGCUGGUCUGAGAGGAUGAUCAGCCACACUGGAACUGAGACACGGUCCAGACUCCUACGGGAGGCAGCAGUGGGGAAUAUUGCACAAUGGAGGAAACUCUGAUGCAGCAACGCCGCGUGGAGGAUGACACAUUUCGGUGCGUAAACUCCUUUUAUAUGGGAAGAUAAUGACGGUACCAUAUGAAUAAGCACCGCUAACU